UACGUAGGUGACCAGCGUUGUCCGGAUUUACUGGGCGUAAAGAGCGCGCAGGCGGUCGUUCAAGUCGAGUGUGAAAGCCCCCGGCUCAACUGGGGAGGGUCAUUCGAUACUGAUCGACUUGAAGGCAGGAGAGGGAAGUGGAAUUCCAGGUGUAGUGGUGAAAUGCGUAGAUAUCGGGAGGAACACCAGUGGCGAAGGCGACUUCCUGGCCUGUUCUUGACGCUGAGGCGCGAAAGCUAGGGGAGCAAACGGG
rnacentral:rRNA from 1 species